GGUUAAUUGCAUGGGGAUGGGCGAUGGCAGACAGGUGUGCUUGGGCAAGCUAUUUAACCAGGCUAAGGAGUCUUCUGCUUGUCUCCUGGGUGCAGUGUGCUGAGGCUGCUGAUAUCUGAAAUGGUGUGCCACACGGCUGGGUUGUAGUCUGGGGAGCCGGCAGUGCAGAGCCACUGCUACUUAGUAGAGUUACCAGAGGCCCCAAGCAGUGAGGAGGCCACAACCGGCCAACCUGUGACCAACAGCAGACCGUUCCUGUCGUGUUUUGCUUCGCCCCAUACAGGAAAACGAAGCUGAGCACACCCAGCCACGGAGAGCCGCAUUCCCGUUUAACUGACCCUGAGUUUCCCCCAUUUUGAACUGACCUUUUAACUUUCUUAGCUUCAGCUUUGUUUUAACCCUUUUUUUAAUGCCUAUUCUGUACAAAUAAACUUGGAGGUUAUAUUUUGCACAGCUUGUAGUAUUGUUGCCCACUUAUUUUACUCACUGGCUGGUCAAUUCUGAACUAGCUUAGGGUGUCAUACUAGUUUACAAUUUUACACAAAUGUUCAGUUUUGUAGCAAACUGCAUACAGAAAUAAAGAGAAAUUCUGCAAAACA